UGGGGAAUAUGCACAAUGGGCGCAAGCCUGAUGCAGCCAUGCCGCGUGUGUGAAGAAGGCCUUCGGGUUGUAAAGCACUUUCAGCGAGGAGGAAGGUGGUGAACUUAAUACGUUCAUCAAUUGACGUUACUCGCAGAAGAAGCACCGGCUAACUCCGUGCCAGCAGCCGCGGUAAUACGGAGGGUGCAAGCGUUAAUCGGAAUUACUGGGCGUAAAGCGCACGCAGGCGGUUUGUUAAGUCAGAUGUGAAAUCCCCGGGCUCAACCUGGGAACUGCAUUUGAAACUGGCAAGCUAGAUCUCGUAGAGGGGGGUAGAAUUCCAGGUGUAGCGGUGAAAUGCGUAGAGAUCUGGAGGAAUACCGGUGGCGAAGG
rnacentral:rRNA from 1 species